CGGUACGGGUGCGUAACACGUGUGCAACCUGCCUUUAUCUGGGGGAUAGCCUUUCGAAAGGAAGAUUAAUACUCCAUAAUAUAUUGAACGGCAUCGUUUAAUAUUGAAAGCUCCGGCGGAUAGAGAUGGGCACGCGCAAGAUUAGCUAGUUGGUGAGGUAACGGCUCACCAAGGCGAUGAUCUUUAGGGGGCCUGAGAGGGUGAUCCCCCACACUGGUACUGAGACACGGACCAG
rnacentral:rRNA from 2 species